rnacentral:rRNA from 1 species
GAUGAACGCUGGCGGCGUGCCUAAUACAUGCAAGUCGAGCGAACAGACGAGGAGCUUGCUCCUCUGACGUUAGCGGCGGACGGGUGAGUAACACGUGGAUAACCUACCUAUAAGACUGGGAUAACUUCGGGAAACCGGAGCUAAUACCGGAUAAUAUAUUGAACCGCAUGGUUCAAUAGUGAAAGACGGUUUUGCUGUCACUUAUAGAUGGAUCCGCGCCGCAUUAGCUAGUUGGUAAGGUAACGGCUUACCAAGGCGACGAUGCGUAGCCGACCUGAGAGGGUGAUCGGCGACACUGGAACGGAGACACGGUCAAGACUCCUACGGGAGGCAGCAGUAGGGAAUCGUCCGCAAUGGGCGAAAGCAUGACGGAGCAACGCCGCGUGAGUGAUGAAGGUCUUCGGAUCGUAAAACUCUGUUAUUAGGGAAGAACAAAUGUGUAAGGAACUAUGCACGUCUUGACGGUACCUAAUCAGAAAGCCACGGCUAACUACGUG